UAGUAACUGCGAGUGAAGCGGGAAAAGCUCAAAUUUAAAAUCUGAUAGUCCCUGUGGCUGUCCGAGUUGUAAUCUAGAGAAGUGCUUUCCGCGUUGGACCGUGUACAAGUCUCUUGGAACAGAGCAUCAUAGAGGGUGAGAAUCCCGUCUUUGACACGGACUACCAGUGCUUUUGUGAUGCGCUCUCAAAGAGUCGAGUUGUUUGGGAAUGCAGCUCAAAAUGGGUGGUAAAUUCCAUCUAAAGCUAAAUAUUGGCGAGAGACCGAUAGCGAACAAGUACCGUGAGGGAAAGAUGAAAAGAACUUUGGAAAGAGAGUUAAACAGUACGUGAAAUUGUUGAAAGGGAAACGCUUGAAGUCAGUCACGUUGGCUAGAAAUCAACUCUUCAUUGAAGGGUGUACUUUCUGGCUUUACGGGUCAACAUCAAUUUUGACUGUUGGAUAAAUUUCAAUAUUUAUGCAUUUUCGGAUGUAUAGCCUUUGAUUGCAUACAACAGUUGGGAUUGAGGAACUCAGCAUGCCGCAAGGCCGGGUCAGAAUGACCACGUACAUGCUUAGGAUGUUGGCAUAAUGGCUUUAAUCGACCCGUCUUGAAACACGGACCAAGGAGUCUAACAUGCCCGCGAGUGUUUGGGUGGUAAACCCGAGCGCGUAAUGAAAGUGAAUGUUGAGAUCUCUGUCAUGGAGAGCAUCG
rnacentral:rRNA from 1 species